GGGCCAUAGCUCAGUGGCAAAGCAUUUGCUCUGGAUGCAUAAAAUCCCAGGUUCAAUCCCCAGCAUCUCCA